GACGUAGGAGGCGAGCGUUGUUCGGAUUCAUUGGGCGUAAAGGGUGUGUAGGUGGCGCCGUAAGUCGGGUGUGAAAUUUCGGAGCUUAACUCCGAAACUGCAUUCGAUACUGCGGUGCUUGAGGACUGGAGAGGAGACUGGAAUUCAUGGUGUAGCAGUGAAAUGCGUAGAGAUCAUGAGGAAGACCAGUGGCGAAGGCGGGUCUCUGGACAGUUCCUGACACUGAGACACGAAGGCCAGGGGAGCAAACGGG
rnacentral:rRNA from 1 species